GAUGAACGCUGGCGGCGUGCCUAAUACAUGCAAGUCGAGCGAACAGACGAGGAGCUUGCUCCUUUGACGUUAGCGGCGGACGGGUGAGUAACACGUAGGUAACCUACCUAUAAGACUGGGAUAACUUCGGGAAACCGGAGCUAAUACCGGAUAAUAUUUCGAACCGCAUGGUUCGAUAGUGAAAGAUGGCUUUGCUAUCACUUAUAGAUGGACCUGCGCCGUAUUAGCUAGUUGGUAAGGUAACGGCUUACCAAGGCAACGAUACGUAGCCGACCUGAGAGGGUGAUCGGCCACACUGGAACUGAGACACGGUCCAGACUCCUACGGGAGGCAGCAGUAGGGAAUCUUCCGCAAUGGGCGAAAGCCUGACGGAGCAACGCCGCGUGAGUGAUGAAGGUCUUCGGAUCGUAAAACUCUGUUAUUAGGGAAGAACAAACGUGUAAAUAACUGUGCACGUCUUGACGGUACCUAAUCAGAAAGCCACGGCUAACUACGUG
rnacentral:rRNA from 1 species